GACUAGAACUAAUGGUUGAUAUAGGUUGGUUUGAUCCUAGAGUAUAUUUUUAUUUUUUUUUAUUUUUGGAAUAAGUGUUGAAAUUAAGAAGAAAAGUGAGGAGGAAUUGUUGGAUUUUGUUAUGUUUUUGCGUUCUAACGUUUUGGCAUUUAAUUUGUUUCUUUCUUCUUCUUCUUUUUUUGAUGCCACAUGUCAUAAUAUCAAUGACCUUGGUUAAUUUUGCUGGAAAAAAGUCAGACUAUAUGGAAUCAAGAAGUAGGGGCGCUGCUCCCCCCUUGCAAUAUUCUUUUUGUUUAUUUUUUAUUAUUAUUAUUAUUAUAAAAUUGAAUUUAGGAUAAGUAUUGGGUUUUAUUAUGUGCAUUAGGCUCGUUGAUCAUGACACUCUCAUAAAUUAUAAAUAUUGUAAAUAUAAUAUUGUUGUUGCUAUUUGAUUCCAUUGCGUUAAAUUGGAUUAAAUCUGUGGGUUCGACUUUUAUGUGUCGUUAUGCCGCCAAAAUUUUAAUACAUUGAUAGGAUAUUUUCGUCAUGUUAUGAUCUUGCGUAUGAUAUUA
rnacentral:lncRNA from 1 species